CGUGGCCUAAUGGUUAAGACACCAGGCUAAUAACCUGAUGGUCAUAGGUUCGAGCCCCCGCAGCUC
rnacentral:tRNA from 11 species